GUCGGGCGGCGGCCAGUGGUUCGGUUCCGUGCCGAUACUGUUGGUCGCGGCCUCCACGCCGGUCGUCUUUCGGUGCUCUUAACUGAGUGCCUUAAGUAGCCGGGCAGGUUUACUUUGAAAAAAUUAGAGUGUUCAAGGCAGGCUUCACACGCCUGAAUGAUGGUGCAUGGAAUAAUGGAAUAGGACCUCGGUUCUAUUUUGUUGGUCUUCGGAACUGGAGGUAAUGAUUAAUAGGGACGGACGGGAGCAUUCGUAUUGCGGCGUUAGAGGUGAAAUUC
rnacentral:rRNA from 1 species